CUUUAUUUUGUAUCCAGCGCUUCAAAAUACAUGUACAGACUGGAUUGAAGUUGUAAGAACUUUGUUUCUUCUCUUCGUAUUGAUGAAUUGAACUGACUAUAUGACCGGCAGAGCCGGUCACGGUUUAUCAAAUACUAAAUGGCAGUACAGCGACUAUAGACAUAGUUAAAGUUGAAUUUUUAUAAGAUAAACCGAUCCCCAAGACCCCAACCUUUCUCUAAUCCUAAC